rnacentral:rRNA from 1 species
CUGGAGGUAUCAGAAGUGCGAAUGCUGACAUAAGUAACGAUAAAGCGGGUGAAAAGCCCGCUCGCCGGAAGACCAAGGGUUCCUGUCCAACGUUAAUCGGGGCAGGGUGAGUCGACCCCUAAGGCGAGGCCGAAAGGCGUAGUCGAUGGGAAACGGGUUAAUAUUCCCGUACUUGGUGUUACUGCGAAGGGGGGACGGAGAAGGCUAUGUUGGCCGGGCGACGGUUGUCCCGGUUUAAGCGUGUAGGUGUGUGUUCCAGGUAAAUCCGGUUCACUUUAACACUGAGGCGUGACGACGAGGCACUACGGUGCUGAAGCAACAAAUGCCCUGCUUCCAGGAAAAGCCUCUAAGCAUCAGGUAACAUCAAAUCGUACCCCAAACCGACACAGGUGGUCAGGUAGAGAAUACCAAGGCGCUUGAGAGAACUCGGGUGAAGGAACUAGGCAAAAUGGUGCCGUAACUUCGGGAGAAGGCACGCUGACACGUAGGUGAAGUGAUUUACUCACGGAGCUGAAGUCAGUCGAAGAUACCAGCUGGCUGCAACUGUUUAUUAAAAACACAGCACUGUGCAAACACGAAAGUGGACGUAUACGGUGUGACGCCUGCCCGGUGCCGGAAGGUUAAUUGAUGGGGUCAGCGCAAGCGAAGCUCCUGAUCGAAGCCCCGGUAAACGGCGGCCGUAACUAUAACGGUCCUAAGGUAGCGAAAUUCCUUGUCGGGUAAGUUCCGACCUGCACGAAUGGCGUAAUGAUGGCCAGGCUGUCUCCACCCGAGACUCAGUGAAAUUGAACUCGCUGUGAAGAUGCAGUGUACCCGCGGCAAGACGGAAAGACCCCGUGAACCUUUACUAUAGCUUGACACUGAACAUUGAGCCUUGAUGUGUAGGAUAGGUGGGAGGCUUUGAAGUGUGGACGCCAGUCUGCAUGGAGCCGACCUUGAAAUACCACCCUUUAAUGUUUGAUGUUCUAACGUGGACCCGUGAUCCGGGUUGCGGACAGUGUCUGGUGGGUAGUUUGACUGGGGCGGUCUCCUCCUAAAGAGUAACGGAGGAGCACGAAGGUUGGCUAAUCCUGGUCGGACAUCAGGAG